AUCGAGCAAACUUGAGCUUGUGUGCAGUCUAUGUGGAUUCUAGUACCUGCUAAGAAAUUAAGAUAAUUUCUCGAAUUGAAGGUUGAGGCUACCAAUUCGUAUGAAAUAGUGAAAGAAUCUUGAGACCAAAGUUCAAGUCUUUAGGCUUAAUUAAUUCAUAUAUUAAUAGAUCUUAAUAUUUUUCUUUCAGUUAUGGCUAG
rnacentral:lncRNA from 1 species